AACCCAUGGUGAGGGCAUCUUCUCAAGAGGUCCUUGUAUCUCUCUCAUUCAUCGUGUAGUGUUUUUCUAAAUCCAUCUGCACAAAGAAAGAAAUAUCAUUACGUAAUUU
rnacentral:snoRNA from 1 species